UGGACAUCAUCACUUGUUUUUUCUUUCUUCUCUUUGCCUUAUUUAUAUGGAUGAUCUCAUUUCAUUCUUCUCCAGGACUCCAGGAUAUGAGAACUGUGUCUGCUCUUACUUUACAUAUUUGGGGACUUGAGGCAUAGGUUAUAUAGUAAGUGGCACCUCCAGAAUGAAAACUCAGGUUUUUUUUGUUUUUUUGGUUUUUUUGAGACAAAGUCUUGCUCUGUCGCCCAGGCCGGAGUGCAGAUCUUGGCUCACUGCAACCUCCACCUCCUGGGUUCAAGCAAUUUUGUUUCAACCUUAGUAGCUGGGACUACAGGCACCUGCCACCACACCCGACUAAUUUU
rnacentral:lncRNA from 1 species